CCUACGGGUGGCAGCAGUGAGGAAUAUUGGUCAAUGGGCGCGAGCCUGAACCAGCCAAGUAGCGUGAAGGCUGACUGCCCUACGGGUUGUAAACUUCUUUUAUAAAAGAAUAAAGUGAGGCACGUGUGCCUUUUUGUAUGUCCUUUAUGAAUAAGGAUCGGCUAACUCCGUGCCAGCAGCCGCGGUAAUACGGAGGAUCCGAGCGUUAUCCGGAUUUAUUGGGUUUAAAGGGAGCGUAGAUGGGUUGUUAAGUCAGUUGUUAAAGUUUGCGGCUCAACCGUAAAAUUGCAAUUGCUACUGGCAGCCUUGAGUACAGUUGAGGUAGGCGGAAUUCGUGGUGGAGCGGUGAAAUGCUUAGAUAUCACGAAGAACUCCGAUUGCGAAGGCAGCUUACUAAUCUGCCACUGACAUUGAUGCUCGAAAGUGUGGGUAUCAAACAGGAUUAGAUACCCCUGUAGUC
rnacentral:rRNA from 1 species